rnacentral:rRNA from 1 species
UCGGGAAUAUUGGACAAUGGGUGAGAGCCUGAUCCAGCCAUGCCGCGUGCAGGAAGAAGGCGUUAUGCGUUGUAAACUGCUUUUUGCCAGGGGAUAAAAAGACCGUGCGCGGUUAAUUGAAGGUACCUGGUGAAUAAGCCACGGCUAACUACGUGCCAGCAGCCGCGGUAAUACGUAGGGACCAAGCGUUGUUCGGAUUUACUGGGCGUAAAGGGCGCGUAGGCGGCGUGGUAAGUCAUCUGUGAAAUCUCCGAGCUUAACUCGGAACGGUCAGAUGAUACUGCUGUGCUAGAGUACAGAAAGGGCAAUCGGAAUUCUUGGUGUAGCGGUGAAAUGCGUAGAUAUCAAGAGGAACACCUGAGGCGAAGGCGGGUUGCUAGGCUGAUACUGACGCUGAGGCGCGAAAGCUAGGGUAGCAAACGGGAUUAGAUACCCCCGUAGUCCCUGAGCGGGCUGGCAAGGCGCAU